rnacentral:lncRNA from 1 species
GUGAUGUUGGACUGUAACUUGGUGAAGUAGGGCUGUAGCCAGGAGAUGUGGGGCUAUAUGCGGGUGAAGUAGGGCUGUAAGACGGAGAUGUUGGGCUGUAAGAUGGUGAAGUAGGGCUGUAAGAAGGCGAUGUUGGGCUGUAAGAAGGUGAAGUUGGGCUGUAAGAAGGAGAGGUUGGGCUGUAUGCUGGUGAAGUUGGGCUGUAAGCAGGUGAAGUCGGGCUGUAAGCAGGCGAAGUCGGGCUGUAACUUGGGGAAGUAGGACUGUAGCUCGGAGAU